rnacentral:rRNA from 1 species
AUUGAACGCUGGCGGCAUGCCUUACACAUGCAAGUCGAACGGCAGCGCGGGGCAACCUGGCGGCGAGUGGCGAACGGGUGAGUAAUAUAUCGGAACGUACCCUGGAGUGGGGGAUAACGUAGCGAAAGUUACGCUAAUACCGCAUACGAUCUAAGGAUGAAAGUGGGGGAUUCGCAAGAACCUCAUGCUCCUGGAGCGGCCGAUAUCUGAUUAGCUAGUUGGUAGGGUAAAAGCCUACCAAGGCAUCGAUCAGUAGCUGGUCUGAGAGGACGACCAGCCACACUGGAACUGAGACACGGUCCAGACUCCUACGGGAGGCAGCAGUGGGGAAUUUUGGACAAUGGGCGCAAGCCUGAUCCAGCAAUGCCGCGUGAGUGAAGAAGGCCUUCGGGUUGUAAAGCUCUUUUGUCAGGGAAGAAACGGGCCUUUCUAAUACAGAGGCCUAAUGACGGUACCUGAAGAAUAAGCACCGGCUAACUACGUGCCAGCAGCCGCGGUAAUACGUAGGGUGCAAGCGUUAAUCGGAAUUACUGGGCGUAAAGCGUGCGCAGGCGGUUUUGUAAGACUGUCGUGAAAUCCCCGGGCUCAACCUGGGAAUGGCGAUGGUGACUGCAAGGCUAGAGUUUGGCAGAGGGGGGUAGAAUUCCACGUGUAGCAGUGAAAUGCGUAGAUAUGUGGAGGAACACCGAUGGCGAAGGCAGCCCCCUGGGUCAAAACUGACGCUCAUGCACGAAAGCGUGGGGAGCAAACAGGAUUAGAUACCCUGGUAGUCCACGCCCUAAACGAUGUCUACUAGUUGUCGGGUUUUAAUUAACUUGGUAACGCAGCUAACGCGUGAAGUAGACCGCCUGGGGAGUACGGUCGCAAGAUUAAAACUCAAAGGAAUUGACGGGGACCCGCACAAGCGGUGGAUGAUGUGGAUUAAUUCGAUGCAACGCGAAAAACCUUACCUACCCUUGACAUGGCAGAGAUCCCGGAGAGAUUCGGGAGUGCUCGAAAGAGAAUCUGCACACAGGUGCUGCAUGGCUGUCGUCAGCUCGUGUCGUGAGAUGUUGGGUUAAGUCCCGCAACGAGCGCAACCCUUGUCAUUAGUUGCUACGAAAGAGCACUCUAAUGAGACUGCCGGUGACAAACCGGAGGAAGGUGGGGAUGACGUCAAGUCCUCAUGGCCCUUAUGGGUAGGGCUUCACACGUCAUACAAUGGUACAUACAGAGGGCCGCCAACCCGCGAGGGGGAGCUAAUCCCAGAAAGUGUAUCGUAGUCCGGAUUGUAGUCUGCAACUCGACUGCAUGAAGUUGGAAUCGCUAGUAAUCGCGGAUCAGCAUGUCGCGGUGAAUACGUUCCCGGGUCUUGUACACACCGCCCGUCACACCAUGGGAGCGGGUUUUACCAGAAGUAGGUAGCUUAACCGUAAGGAGGGCGCUUACCACGGUAGGAUUCGUGACUGGGAUG